rnacentral:rRNA from 1 species
AUUGAACGCUGGCGGCAGGCCUAACACAUGCAAGUCGAACGCGUGGCGGACGGGUGAGUAAUGUCUGGGAAACUGCCUGAUGGAGGGGGAUAACUACUGGAAACGGUAGCUAAUACCGCAUACCAUCGGAUGUGCCCAGAUGGGAUUAGCUAGUAGGUGGGGUAAAGGCUCACCUAGGCGACGAUCCCUAGCUGGUCUGAGAGGAUGACAAGCCACGCUGGAACUGCGACACGGUCCAGGAUCCUACGGGAGGCAGCAGUGGGGAAUAUUUCACAAUGGGCGCAAGCCUGAUGCAGCCAUGCCGCGUGUAUGAAGAAGGCCUUCGGGUUGUAAAGUACUUUCAGCGGGGAGGCGUUACCCGCAGAAGAAGCACCGGCUAACGCCGUGCCAGCAGCCGCGGUAAUUC